UAAUACGAAGGGGGCUAGCGUUGUUCGGAAUCACUGGGCGUAAAGCGCACGUAGGCGGACUUUCAAGUCAGGGGUGAAAUCCCGGGGCUCAACCUCGGAACUGCCUUUGAUACUGUUGGUCUCGAGUCCGGAAGAGGUGGGUGGAAUUCCUAGUGUAGAGGUGAAAUUCGUAGAUAUUAGGAAGAACACCGGUGGCGAAGGCGGCCCACUGGUC
rnacentral:rRNA from 1 species